rnacentral:rRNA from 1 species
GAUGAACGCUAGCGGCAGGCCUAAUACAUGCAAGUCGAACGGUGGUAGCAAUACCAUAGUGGCGCACGGGUGCGUAACGCGUAACCAACCUGCCCGAAACUGGGGGAUAGCCCGCCGAAAGGCGGAUUAAUACCGCAUAUACUCGCAGCCUGGCAUCAGGUAACGAGGAAAGAUUUAUUGGUUUCGGAUGGGGUUGCGUGACAUUAGCUAGUUGGCGGGGUAACGGCCCACCAAGGCGACGAUGUCUAGGGGACCUGAGAGGGUGAUCCCCCACACUGGCACUGAGCUACGGGCCAGACUCCGACGGGGGGCAGCAGUAGGGAAAAUUGGGCAAUGGACGAGAGUCUGAACCAGCCAUGCCGCGUGCCGGAUGAAGGCCUUCUGGGUUGUAAACGGCUUUUCUCAGGGAAGAAAACGGGUAUGCGUACCACACUGACGGUACCUGAGGAAUAAGCACCGGCUAACUCCGUGCCAGCAGCCGCCGUAAUAC